ensembl:lncRNA
CCCUGCCUUGGGACCAGCCAACUAUGAACUGAGACCUCUAUAAACAGCCUCAAGAAGAAGACAGGGGAAAGAUGACUCAGUGGAGAGAGGAGCCCACCAGCUUAAUCUCACUGAGGCUAACUACACAGCCCUCUCCCAUCUUCCACCUACACCUCCUGCCCCAAGACAUACACUUGGGCAUGCUUAUUCAUAGGCAUGAACUGAUCCAGAGAAUGCCUUGAAAUGAUGUUACCUGGGUUUGCUAACCCCUGGACGUUCUGAUUUGGACAACUGUAUCCUGAGUUUAAGUCUCUCCCUCUCUUUUAUUCUUCCUUCAACUCUUAGUCAAAAGAGUAUUCCAUGUGUUUUAGCUGGGUUCACUAGAAUUCAACAUGGCCCAAGACAAUAAUGAAUAUUUCUUUCUUUUAUUCUCUUCUUGUUGCCUAUAUUUCUCUCUAAGAUUUUGAAAUGAGAGGUUGCAGUUUGAGGGAGAGAUGGAGGAUUUGGCACUUCAUCUUUCAUCUUGCUGCUGUAUUUUCAUUGACUGUCACCAUAAUGUUUUCUUAGUGACACAACUUCUCAGGAGUUUUAGAGCUACUUGGUG